rnacentral:misc_RNA from 1 species
UUAAGUGUCAUUCGACUAUCCGUUCAGACGGCUAAAAAAGCUUCUUUAACAAAAUAGUUUCGCUGAGAGCUGUCGGCAGACUGACCCUUCACACCAGCGGUGAGGCGGAGGAAGGAGCUGCCGAAGCAACCGGGGCGUUUCACAAGGGGUUUCACACUAGUCGCGCCGUCCCCGUGAGGGAGCAGCGGCGACACGUGCGGGAGGGGGCGAACCCCCCCCCUUUAUUACUUUUUUAAUGAUCCUUCCGCAGGUUCACCUACGGAAA